rnacentral:rRNA from 1 species
GAUGAACGCUAGCUACAGGCUUAACACAUGCAAGUCGAGGGGCAGCAUGAACAUAGCUUGCUAUGUUUGAUGGCGACCGGCGCACGGGUGCGUAACGCGUAUCCAAUCUGCCCGUUACUCGGGGAUAGCCUUCUGAAAGGAAGAUUAAUACCCGAUAGCAUUCAUUGGCGGCAUCGCUUUUGAAUUAAAGAUUUAUUGGUAACGGAUGAGGAUGCGUACGAUUAGCUAGUUGGCGGGGUAACGGCCCACCAAGGCGACGAUCGUUAGGGGUUCUGAGAGGAAGGUCCCCCACACUGGAACUGAGACACGGUCCAGACUCCUACGGGAGGCAGCAGUGAGGAAUAUUGGUCAAUGGGCGAGAGCCUGAGCCAGCCAAGUAGCGUGAAGGAUGACUGCCCUACGGGUUGUAAACUUCUUUUGUUUGGGAAUAAAAGACGCUACGUGUAGCGUUCUGCAUGUACCUUACGAAUAAGCAUCGGCUAAUUCCGUGCCAGCCGCCGCGGUAAAAC